rnacentral:rRNA from 1 species
AGAGACAGCAGCAGCCGCGGGAAUACGUAGGUGGCAAGCGUUGUCCGGAAUUAUUGGGCGUAAAGGGCUCGCAGGCGGUUUCUUAAGUCUGAUGUGAAAGCCCCCGGCUCAACCGGGGAGGGUCAUUGGAAACUGGGAAACUUGAGUGCAGAAGAGGAGAGUGGAAUUCCACGUGUAGCGGUGAAAUGCGUAGAGAUGUGGAGGAACACCAGUGGCGAAGGCGACUCUCUGGUCUGUAACUGACGCUGAGGAGCGAAAGCGUGGGGAGCGAACAGGAUUAGAUACCCGGGUAGUCCCUGUCUCCUAUAC